rnacentral:rRNA from 1 species
GACGAACGCUGGCGGCGUGCUUAACACAUGCAAGUCGAACGGAAAGGCCCUGCUUUUGUGGUGUGCUCGAGUGGCGAACGGGUGAGUAACACGUGAGUAACCUGCCCUUGACUUUGGGAUAACUUCAGGAAACUGGGGCUAAUACCGGAUAGGAGCUCCUGCUGCAUGGUGGGGGUUGGAAAGUUUCGGCGGUUGGGGAUGGACUCGCGGCUUAUCAGCUUGUUGGUGGGGGAGUGGCUUGCCAAGGGUUUGACGGGUAGCCGGCCUGGGAGGGUGACCGGCCACAUGGGGACUGCGAUACGGCCCAGACUGCUACGGGAGGCAGCAGUCGGGAAUAUUGCACAAUGGGCGGAAGCCUGAUGCAGCAACGCCGCGUGCGGGAUGACGGCCUUCGGGUUGUAAACCGCUUUAGCCUGUGACGAAGCGUGAGUGACGGUAAUGGGUAAAGAAGCACCGGCUAACUACGUG